rnacentral:lncRNA from 1 species
GGGCUCAGCUGAGUGAUUCUCCUGCUCAUCUCAGUGGGACUCACUCCCUUGUCUCUCAUCAGUUACCCACUUGGCCACUCUUUGGUUGAUUCCGUGGAGCCUCAGCUGGGAUGGCCCAUCUGUUCUCUGCAUGUUAUCUCUUUUUCCAGCAGACUAACCCAGGCUUGGUUACAUGGUGGUGGGAUUCUGUGUCAGGGUGGAUUUUCUAUGAUUAAAUUGGAGUUGGACAAUGGGGUUCUUGAUAUUUAUUUGUGACCAGCAUCUGUAAGACGAAGUAUAUGUGUGGAGAGGGAGAAGAUAAACUGUGAAACAGCUCCAGCGAAUCCUUACUCCUGUCCCUCUGGGAGCUCUGCAGUGUGUAGUGGCUGUCAGAAAGGCUUCAUCUCCGGAAACACAAAUCUUUGAGGUCAACUCUGAGGGAACUGAUAAUUGGCGGUUAUCAGCUAACCACAUGCCUAAAGUUGGCCAGUAAGUCCUUCUUUAAAAAGGAUCUAGGAGAAGUUUCUCUGAAUCUAUCUCAUUUCCUGAGGCAACCAGUGUACAAGCCCCAGUGUGUCAAAUUUGCUGAUGUCCCAGUGGUCGAAGGAAAUCAUAUUGCCAAGGGCUGCACUAACAAAGGAUAUAGGCACACAGGAUGGAUGGCUUUGUGGCAGAUGUUGCAGUUGCCUGUAUGAUGGCUCUGAGGUAGUGAUGACUCUACAAGUAGCAGCAUAAAUUAAAAACAAACUGGCAAGCAUAUAUUUUUACCUCUUCAUGCUGAAAAUUAACAUUAUUCUCCCUUCAUUAAUUUAAAAGACGUUUAGAAAUAGGGAACCCAGGCGGAAAAAGUGGAAGAGUAACCACAGAGAACAAAGAAACAGUUUACUCAUAACACUACUUUGGUGAAGCAGGAGAGUAGUGAUGAUACCUUCUCACAGAAUUUGUGGAGCUCAGAAGAACAUGCCUCAUUCAUGUAUGCUUUAGAUAGAUAUUUUGGAUUAAAAAUUAUUUUUUAUGAUGUUAGGCCAUUUGGAGGUGAAUAUGACCUAAAUGUUUUUGGGUUUUUUUUUUUUUUUUUUUCUUGGUAAGGAUUGACAUUUUCAAUUUGGCUUCUAUUUAAUUUUGUCUUUCCAAACAAGAGAGCUUCUAAAUUCUUGACAGAAGGCUCUGAAGACAGAAGCAGCCUAUACUUCUGUCUGUUUAUGGAACUUUCUGAAAAAUAUAUUCACAAGUUGGCAGAGACAGAGCCCACACAGCCUGGCAGAGCUGAUUAUCAUGUCAUAGCAAAUGAAGAGAGCUCUAAGGCAUUAAGAAUUCUCAAACAUUAAUAGCGGCUUUCUUACAAGGCAGUUACAUGAACUGACACUUUGGCAAAGGUAGCACAUCUUGUUUAUCCUUCCACUGAUUGACUCAGAAAUUUAAUUACAAGUGCAAAGAAUUCUUACUACUGGAUUUAAAGUUCCAGGCUUUCAUUUUUAUUUGUGUGUGUGUGUGUGUAUAUAUAUAUAUAUAUAUAUAUAUAUGCUCAUUUAUGUGUGUGAGUAUGUGUAUAUUUAUAUAUAGUUUGAGUUAGUGAUAAUGUGUUUUUCAUUACACCUGAAAUCACAAAAUGUUCUUUUCUUUGGUUUCUAGUUGUGAAAAUAUCAUAAAAUGGGUGAUUUUAUUUCUUGCAAGCAUCAGUUAUUUAGGUAACUAAUUUUUCUUUUAAGAGUGUACUGUAACUAAUGAAAAGGAAAUUUUAACACUCAUUAAUACUAUAAAACAGUUACUCCAGACUGCCUACAAUCUCAUAGUGUAGUGACUGCAAAUAUUUCUGAGUGAUUUUGUGUGUAAUUUUCACAGAAAAUGACAAGAUAGCAUUAUAGCAUCACUAUGAUGACUCUCAUAGAGGAACUGGGAUUUGAGUAGUAGCUAGUGUAGGAAAACACCAUUUCAGGGUUUUAAUAGCAUAACUUCUUUCAGUUGACUCAGACGCAUUUUCAGUGGAGCUAAUGUUCUUACACAUUGCCUCAGACAUAUAAAUGUAUCCCAAAACAUUUACCUAUCAUAUUUUUAUAAGUUCAGGCUUCUUUACAAUGGUUUUGGACAUGGAAACCACAGACAUAACAAAUCAUUCCCAGAGUAAGUCUGGUAGGUGGAUAACAGAAUCAAGUUUCAACUCACUGUCUCUUUCUUAGGACAAAGACUGGCACAAAACAUAAAAUAUCCGUGGACAAGAUGGGAGAAGCAUAGCUUGUCAUAGCAGAUAUAAAAUAGGUGCUUUUGGUAUAUUGAAAUACUCUAUAUAUCAACUGAAAUGUGGAAUAAAAUGGUAAGGUGGAAACAGGAAAACUUUGCUUCCACUUUCCAUUUAAGUUCUAUCUGUAGAUCCUUUAUUUCCUUAAUCCUAGAUGAAAAUAGAAGAACUUGCCCUAGGAUUCUGUCCAGGUAAUAUAGUGUCCACGGCUCUCCCAUGGAAUACAACAAUAAGAUCUGGAAAGAAUAAAUGGGGAAGGCAUUUGAGGACAGAAAAGUAAAUAGGAGCUGCCUGCUCGGAAUUGAAGUACCACUGAACCUGAGUGAUCUUACUUUGUACUUUCCUCUUUGUUCCCUGUAGUCACCCUACAUGAACUUAUCCUAGUUGGAAACCUGAGCUUGAUGGUGUAGACAGAGCGUGAUGGAGCAUGAUAGUGCAGACAGAGAACUCCAGGAGAAGCUUUCUCCUUCUGGCUUAAGGAGCAGGAAACUGAAUUUCUAAAGGCCACAGUAUGUUGGGAAAAAACGCUAUAAUUUUUUUUCUUUUACUUUUUUUCUGUACCCUCAUGCCACAGACCCUUCCUUGAUAGACUACAGUGACAGCAGAGAGAGAAACAAUGUAUUAACUUUAGGGUAAUAAUAAUUCAAAUUGAGAUUUCUCAUCGGAAACCAUGGCGUUCAAGAAGGAACUUGCACAGCAUGUUUAAAGUAUUGAAAUAAAAGAACAGUAAAUGCAAAAUUCUAUAGCCAGUGAAAGUAUCCUUCAGAAAUGAAGAUAAAAUAAAGACAUCUUAGAUGAAGAAAAACUAAGAGAAUUCAUAGCCAACAAAUAUGCUCUAAAAUUGCUGCUAAAGAAAUUUAUUCAGCCAGAAAGGAAAUGAUACCAUAAGGAAACCUAGAACACUGGAAUAUCAAGAAGGAAGGGUGUGUGACAAAAAUGAUAAAUAUUUAAGUCAGUAUUUGAAAAUGUUUGGCAAUUACAUUUUAUACAUAUAUAUGUUACAUGCAUAGACACGUGCUUCAGUUGCUAAACAUGUUUUAAUAACUCUAGCAGAAAAUUUACAUAUAUAUACACACCCACAUAUAUAUGUAUAAUUUCACUUGAAGUAGAAAAAUGUUAAUUUUAAAUAGCCCGUGAAAAGUUAAAUGUGCAUUUUUUUCACUACACUCAUGCAUGGCAUGGUGAAAGUUCCUGGGGCAGAGAUUGAACCUGCACCACAGCAGUGACAAUACUGGGUCCCUAAAUGUCUGCAGCACAAGGGAACUCCAAGUAUGCAUUUUAAGUCCUAGGAUAACAACUAAAAAAUUAUGCAAAGAGAAAUUGUUAAAAUUACAAUGAUGUUAAGCUGGAACAUAAUAUUCAAAUAAUCCAAAAUAAAAGAGAAAAGGGGAAACAAAGGAAUAAAAAAAUACAAAAAACAAAAACUAGUAGUCCAAAUCUACAGUUGCAUUGUGUAAAUUAUUUAAAAGCACCUAUUAGGAGAUCUCUAAUGGCUGAGUUGGUUAAGUAUAUGGCAUUGUCACUGCCGUGGCUUGGGUUGCUGCUGUGGCACAGGUUCAGUCCCUGGCUCCUAAACUUCUACCUGCCAGGGUGUGGCCAAAAAAAAAAGAAUAAAUAAAAACUCCUGUUAAAAGACAUACAUUCUCAAAAUGUAUUAAGUGCACAUGACCCAGAGUUUUCAUUGUGGCUCAAUAAGUUGAGAGCCCAAUAAAGUGUCUGUGAGGAUGCAGAUUCAAUCCUGGACUUGCUCAGUAGGUUAAGGAUGGAGUAUUGCCACAAGCUGUAGUAGGUCACAGAUAAGGCUUGCAUACUGUGUGGCAAUGGAUUAAGCCUGCAGGUGCAGCUUUGAUUCGACCCCUAGCCUGAGAACUU